rnacentral:misc_RNA from 1 species
GAUGAAGAACGUAGCGAAAUGCGAUAAGUAAUGCGAAUUGCAGAAUUCCGUGAGUCAUCGAAUCUUUGAACGCACAUUGCGCCCUCUGGUAUUCCGGAGGGCAUGCCUGUCUGAGCGUCAUUGUCAACCCUCAAGCUCAGCUUGCUGUUGGGUCCCCGUCGUUGCUUUAACGGCGGACCCGAAAGGUAAUGGCAGAGUCCGUGAGACCCUAGACGCAGCGAGCUUCUAGCACGCGUCUGGACGUUUUUCGGGCUCGGUCUUAAACUAGAUGAUAACUUCCGAUUGACCUCAGAUCAGGUAGGGAUACCCGCUGAACUUAAGCAUAUCAAUGCGGAGGA